rnacentral:tRNA from 1 species
GAAGUUCUAGUUUAUUAUAGAAUAAAGAAUUGUAAAUUCUUAGGAUUAAGCUUUG